rnacentral:tRNA from 1 species
UCCCUGUAGCUCAGUUGGUAAAGAAUCUGCCUGCGAUGCAGGAGACCCGGGUUCGAUUCCUGGGUUGGGAA